CCACGCAUCUCUAGGUCGACGAACGCUAAGAACUUUUUGCUUGUUCGCAUUCUUGCGCACCAUAAUGCCUUCAGUGUGUUUGUGAAAUUCGGCAAAAGAGAGCGGCCGAGAGAUUGAGAAAAGCUUCUUCCGGACCAGAUCUGGGCGCAGCCUCCAAAUCAAAUGAAACUUCUGGCGUUAGAAAAUCAGAGAGCGGAAGUCGAUUCUCAGAGGAGACGAACACUGUACCAUGUUUAAAGCUCUCAAAGAUGUAGCCAUGGAGAAAGAUGCAGCAGUUGUUGCCCAAGUAUAUGCAGUCUAGAUAAAUUA